UAUACCUGCUGCGAGGGUUGAUAGUACCCACCAAUACCUCGCACGUUGGCACCAUAACCGCCAGCUUCAGCUAUGGCGGAAAAUACAACAAACACGAGAGCAGAACACAGUAUGAUCUUCGUGGCUCCCAUCUUGUUUGAUUUGUUCAUGUUACAAAACACUGCCUUUCCAGAAAACACUUACAGCCGCUGCUGCAGUCUGCGCAGAUGUUUGUUGUCCUCCUUUGGUUGGCAAGAUAACACCUUUGCUGAACUCUAAAACAAAACAAAAAAAAACACCAUCAAGAAAAAACCAAAAUUAAAUAUAAAAGUGUGCUCUACUACAAAUUAAAUCAAGUAAAUUUUCAAAAAAAAUUUACCAUGAUGUAAUUUGAAUCCAAUGAAUGUGACUUUCAUCUUCUGUACUGUUUUGUGUGUGUUGCGUUGCAUUAACACUGAAUUAAUGGGAAAGGACAGAUCAUAAGCAUUAACGGUGCGUUAAUGCAAUUUCAUGAAAUGCAUGGAUCACAUACUGUGAUACAGGUUUAUUUCUAAUAACAAGGUUGUUUUAAACUUCUAUUGAUGAGCACUAGGGGUUCUUCCAAUGUUUCUUGUGUAACUUUGUAACAAAAUUAUAUAUCAAAUAACAAUUUGCAAGUGUGUAAAGCAGAAUAAAUUUUGUAAAUAAUGAUAUGAAAUUUGAUGUGCAACUUUUCAAAAUAUUUUCAAAUUUCUCAAGGAAUGAAAGUCAAAAACCCCUGAAGUUAAAUAAAUUAGUACAAC